UACGUAGGGUGCAAGCGUUAAUCGGAAUUACUGGGCGUAAAGCGUGCGCAGGCGGCUUUGCAAGACAGAUGUGAAAUCCCCGGGCUUAACCUGGGAACUGCAUUUGUGACUGCAAGGCUGGAGUACGGCAGAGGGGGAUGGAAUUCCGCGUGUAGCAGUGAAAUGCGUAGAUAUGCGGAGGAACACCGAUGGCGAAGGCAAUCCCCUGGGCCUGUACUGACGCUCAUGCACGAAAGCGUGGGGAGCAAACAGG
rnacentral:rRNA from 1 species